rnacentral:rRNA from 1 species
AUUGAACGCUGGCGGCAUGCCUUACACAUGCAAGUCGAACGGCAGCACGGAGCUUGCUCUGGUGGCGAGUGGCGAACGGGUGAGUAAUAUAUCGGAACGUACCCAAGAGUGGGGGAUAACGUAGCGAAAGUUACGCUAAUACCGCAUACGAUCUAAGGAUGAAAGCAGGGGACCGCAAGGCCUCGUGCUCCUGGAGCGGCCGAUAUCUGAUUAGCUAGUUGGUGAGGUAAAGGCUCACCAAGGCAUCGAUCAGUAGCUGGUCUGAGAGGACGACCAGCCACACUGGAACUGAGGCACGGUCCAGACUCCUACGGGAGGCAGCAGUGGGGAAUUUUGGACAAUGGGGGCAACCCUGAUCCAGCAAUGCCGCGUGAGUGAAGAAGGCCUUCGAGUUGUAAAGCUCUUUUGUCAGGGAAGAAACGGUCGUGGCUAAUAUCCAUGGCUAAUGACGGUACCUGAAGAAUAAGCACCGGCUAACUACGUGCCAGCAGCCGCAGUAA